rnacentral:rRNA from 1 species
GAGUUUGAUCAUGGCUCAGGAUGAACGCUGGCGGCGUGCUUAACACAUGCAAGUCGAACGAAGCGCCUUAUUUGAUCUUCUUCGGAACUGAAGAUUUGGUGACUGAGUGGCGGACGGGUGAGUAACGCGUGGGGUAACCUGCCCUGUACAGGGGGAUAACAAUCAGAAAUGACUGCUAAUACCGCAUAAGACCACAGCACCGCAUGGUGCAGGGGUAAAAAACUCCGGUGGUACAGGAUGGACCCGCGUCUGAUUAGCUGGUUGGUGAGGUAACGGCUCACCAAGGCGACGAUCAGUAGCCGGCUUGAGAGAGUGAACGGCCACAUUGGGACUGAGACACGGCCCAAACUCCUACGGGAGACAGCAGUGGGGAAUAUUGCACAAUGGGGGAAACCCUGAUGCAGCAACGCCGCGUGAGUGAAGAAGUAUUUCGGUAUGUAAAGCUCUAUCAGCAGGGAAGAAAGUGACGGUACCUGACUAAGAAGCCCGGCUAACUACGUGUCAGCAGCCGACGG